UAAACGUUUUUAAUGUUAUCAUGAAUCAAUGUUAUAGUUUUGUAUGUCACAUUAUUUUUUGAGAAGAGUCAUGACUGAACGCGGACCUUACACGCUGUUAUUUUUUUGUGUGCGUAUGGCCAAGGUACAGUGCGCUCUUUUGCACUAUGACCAGCCAUCAGUAGGCCUAAAUCGAAAUACAGUAAAAAAAAAUGAGCGCGAAACCCUGACACUUUACAGAAAGGCACGGAUAUCCCCGCCCGAAGAAAAAAAGAACACAGGACAAUGGUUGCAAGUUAAACAGCUGAACAUUUCACCAUCUGCAAAGAACAUUUCACCAUCAACAUAUUAACAUAAACGGUUCUCUUUUUGCGUUUGGUACAGGUGGAGGAGUUUGACUGCGUUUGGUACAGGUCACAACAACGACGGCAGAUGUAGAGACCACGCUUUCCCUUGCUUCCACUCCACGGCUGAUCAUGCUUGAGGAUCCAGAUCUACAAAACAAAAAAUGGAUGCUGCCGAUUGAAGGCUAAGUCCGAUUUCCUGCGAUUGACCUACCAUUUCUUCAGCAUUUGCUGUUCACUUUGGUUGCUACUACGUGCUCAACAUCGAGUACCAUGUGCAAGCAGCCACUACUUUGGAGUUUAUUCAGAGAUUUAUUGUGAGGAUCAGCCCCGACAACAGCAAGUGCUCCUCUAACUUCCAGGUGAGCAAAAGAAGUGGGAAGAUGGUGCAAAGGAAGAACUCUGGCCUGAACCAUCAUGUGUAUAUAUCCACCUUUAUUAAGGACUUUAUGAAUUAAGCAAAACUAUUAAGCAACUAAAGCAAAUACAUUCUACUCAACUCACCAGAGGUUUGUGAAGUUCUUUUUUUUCUUAAAGGUUUCUUUUAGUUAAUUUGUCCAUGCACUGAUUUAUAAUAUUGUAAUAUGAAACUCCAGUGUAUACAUGUUACUACUGUUGCUUCUAAAAGCAAAAUAAGUCUAUGCAGGAGAGGUUUUGUUACGUUUUUUUUUUUAAAUUAUUCUUAUAGACGGUUUCAUCGGACGCACAUGACACACGUCUGGAUCCGAUCCUUACUUCCGGUUUCGCUUUUUUAAUGGUCUGACUAGUUGCUAAACUGAUCUCUUGAACAAAAGCCUCGUUGAAAAUAACAAAUGUUUUGGUUUCCGAGCUAAUCUAUGUGUUGUUUUUUUGCUUGUUAUAUAAAUAAAAUGCGUUUAAAGAAGUUUGUUGUUUUUUAUUCUUAGCGGAGUUUAUCGGAAGUUCAUGCGGACCGCGACAGCCGCUUGUUUAUGAUGUUACUGCUGAAACCGUCUAUAGUUAUAACUGAAUUUGUACUAGUAUUAUUUGAUAAUACUGUGAAAUGAAACAGUGAGUAAAUGUUACAUUGGCUUUGAAAAAGAUGUUGCUGCAAGAAAUUACAAUUUACUCAGAAUAAUAUUUUGAAUGUAUAAGUUUUUGACAUUGCUUAUGACUGCAUUUGAAUGUAUUUUUCAUGAAUUGAUGCUGUGAUAUGUGUGUGUAAAUGUUUUGUAUUUUACUCAGGAAAGUAUUUUGUAUUUGAACAUUGUUAUUAUGACUGAGUUAGUUCAUGACUUGAUUUAAAAUUCUGUAAUAUGAUAUCUAUGAGUAAAUGUUAUUGCAGGUUUAAGAAAAACAGUUUGUGAUGCAAGCUGAAAGUUCAGUGUGCAAAAAAUAUGAAAAUCUGAUUUCAUGUAUUUGAAAAACUAAAAGAAAUUUUAAAAACAUGUUGUCAUUGCUUAUUUUUGUUAUUUACUUAGAGCUGUUUUAACACCUCCAUUUAAAUUUUGUGCAGUUUUGUAGUAAAUAGAAAUGGGAAAAUGAAUCACAGGAAAUUUUACGGUAAAAUACACAUUGUAAUAUAUACAUUGUAGUAUAAAAUUAUUGUAUAUUUUACAGUAGAAAAUAUAAAAUACUGUAAAUACAGUUACAGCAUGUUAA